GAGCCCUCUCCGAUGCUGUUGCCUCUUACGCGGUAUACGGCUCUCCCACUCCGGCAGCCGCUGCUCUCCCGUCGUCAAGGCCUCCGCUCCAAAAUUUUACAGGCGUCCUCUUAUAUCGUCGGCACGCUCGCCCAUGAAUCCAUCACAGGAGUAGAGUACGGAUCAGGUGGUGGAGGUUGCGCGAACAGAGAAGCUGGCGGAGGUACACCCGUUGCAGCGCUAAGACUCUGCAUGUAAGACCCCAUGGAUAAGGGAAGUUCUUCCAAACCAGCAAAACAGACAGCUAGGAAGAAGGUCGUGAUCCACGAUGACAGUGAUAACUAUGAUGUAGAAAUGUUGAUGAAACUCGAGGAGAUGGAACAGUACAUGUUUUUUCGCGCCAUUGUGCUUUGUUGCGUGGAAGACACGUCCGGUCUCGAAUGGGACAACGAUCAGUUACAAAGGGAUGACAUUCAUAGUGAAAAGGCUGGUAAUGAAAAGUCGAUGGAGAGGGGUAGCGAUGAAGACAAGGGCAAUGAAGAGUCGGUGCUGGAUAGUAAUAUGACCAGCGACGUUGCGGACGAACGAGAUGUCAUGGUUGACACUCGUAAGGACAACACCAGUGUGGAGAAAGGUUAUGACAUGCCCACAGCAGGAACAUACAAUCAUGAUACAGAAGAUGGAACUGCAAGUGAUUUGGAAGGAGGCAAUAAUAGCCAUGAUUGAUUCAGAUAAGGUUGACACCAACAAGGAGAAUCAUGUUGGCACGAUCGGAACGGAAAAGAAACUCGCCGCGGUUAGUGUCGGCCGACCCGGAUGUCACGACCAAGUUUGGUAAUGAGCCAAUAGGUAAAGAGCGUGGAUUACAUGAGAUCUGGCGAUCCAUGGUUCAUAACAAAACAAAAAGAUCAUGGUCGGCGUGGAUUGUACCAAAAGAUUAUGCUUGCAGUAAAGAUGACCUUUUCAUUAUUGAGCAUAUCAAAGAAAUUCCAUCUUCACCGGGUCAGGAAGUGGUAGUGGAGAUUGAUGGUAUUCCUAUAAAUCGAUAUCAUACAGAAUAUCUUUUUCAACCAGACAGUCACGUGUAUGACGAGUUUUUCAUGCGGGUUAUUUUUAAUCAAUUUUGUGGAGUACUGGACAGGUGAUGUGCUCUCCGACUCCAUAACACAGGUUGUUUAGAUAGCUUACCGGAAAAAUUAUCAUUAUUGGUUAACAAAUUUAUUAAUCAUAUCCAUUUUAUAUCUAUUAUGUAUGGAAGGAUUUAGGUUGAAACUUGCUGCUAUUUUGAUAUCUUCUUUUCUCAACAUCCGAAGAGGAUAUCCAUUAUUUCCGCGCAAUGAUGAUGGACCUGGAAGUCCAAAGGAUGUAGUGGAAAUAGAUGAUCCUAAACAGGAGAACACAACUCCAAGCAAUGGAAAGCGUGAUAGAGAUGGUAACAGUACAAUGGGCCAGCAGGGGACACGUGACAUCAUACUAACGCAGCAAAACUCUACACCGAUUCAUCGUGACCAAUCCAAAGAUGAUUUUUUAGACUCCAUUUUAAAGCAGAACAUGAAUCUGCGCAAAGAAGAUAUGAUAGGGAUAUUCUGCGACUACAUCGCAUCAAUUGACGAUGCCGUUGUCUUGGAAAGAUGUGUGAUUUAACAAGAUAUCCGAAAUUUUGCAAAAGCUAUAGUAAUAAAGAGCUAGGUGCAGCAAUUGGGAGAGGGUCAAUUCUAAACUACGACCACUUAUGUUGCAAAUACUUCCUCCUUCCAUGGUUCACGGGGAAAAACUUCAUGCUAUAUGUCUUGGAUCAUGUGGAGAAAAAACUUAUUAUGAUUGAUCUGUCACGUGUUUCGGAGUGGUGUGAAGAUGUUCCAUAUAGAAAAUAUGGAGAGACUAUUACACAUUUCUAUAAGAAGUAUACAACUGCAAUGAAUGUGAAUAGUCCCAGGUGGGAUCAGAAUAUCUACAAGUGGUCGUUCACACAUGAAAAGGGAAUUGUUGACGAUGAGGAGGAAGGGUAUUCUACGGGCUACCUAGUUCUGCAGUACAUGUCUUGGUGGAAAAGUACCUAGAGCAUGGAGAUUUGUACGGAUCGCGUUACUAUGCGGCAGAACUUCAUCAUCGAUGUGUUGUCAUCAGGAGUGAAUGCUUAUCGACAACUGCUUCCUGCUGAAAUAAAAAAUUAUCUUAGCUGCAUCGAUAGAUGGAAUAUAAAAUAUAAUUUACUGUACAUUUGUUUGUAUAUCAGUU